GGCAACUGAAUUGACUUAAUUUAGUUGGAGUCAGAAGUGUUUGUAAUACUGAGGUCAACUCAUGAUAUCAUUAAAGCCUAAAAUGAAAUCUCUGCAGGGAUAAAAGUAAGAAGCAGCAAGCAGCAUCUCCUAAGGUUUGAGUCAGGCGACGGCAGCAAGACCCCGCCUUUUAACGUGCCGCCGCCUGCUGAACGCUUCCAAAGCCUGAUGGAACAAUUAACUCCGUCCUUCAUCAAAAGGAACAAAAUUCAAGGGAGACUCAUUAUUUCAAGGUAAAAGACUUCCAGUGAACAUUUAUGGGUGUCGGGUCUGCCCUUGGUGAAUGCCA